CCGUACGCGAAAAACCUUACCUGGGCUCGAACGACUGGUGUUAGUCCUGUAGAAAUACGGAUGACCGCAAGGAGGCGAGCCGGCCACGGUAGGGUCGAGCGACUGGGGUG
rnacentral:rRNA from 1 species